UUUUAUAUCAACAAUACAUGACCUUUCAUUCAAAACUUACAACAAAUUAAAAUUUUGAAGAUCAAAAUUAUAAUUCGAGGGCUUUUCCAAAAAGUGUAGUUUAACCUAAAACAAAGAGAUAAAUAAAGUGUAAAGAGAAUCUAAGGCCACCAUUCAAUGAUAUNGGACACGUGUCACCCCAUGGUCCCCCCCAUGGUCCUCCCAAACCCUUCUUUAAUGUAGUAGUAUAGAUUUUCCGUGUCGAUCGAAACUCAAACUCAAUGAAAAUAUCGUAAUAAACAACAAAUUAUGAAUGCUAAACCUCUUCGACGAGCUAAAACUGAACAUCUACAACAAUAUUUUGAUCUUCAAACUAUAAUGCAGUGACAAUUUUGUUGCUUAUAUUUUAGGCUAAAUUACAGAAAACCCCUCUGUAAUAACCUGCUUUUUCACUUUCCCCCCCUGAUAUUUAAAAACCUAUACUUUUUCCCCUUGUAAAACGAAAAAUAUGCACUUCACUCUCUACCGUUAGAGUUUCGUUAAGGUUCCGUUAUAAAAUAUUUUUUUAUGCCGAAAAUAUCCCUCUGCCCUCUUUCUUGUUCCCUCGCCUCCCUCCGACUCGCCGCCUCGCCGCCUCGCCAUUCUCCACUGCCUCGCAAUCGCCCACAUCCCCUUCGCCCUCCUCUGCCGCCUCGCCUUCGCCUUCGUUGCCCUUGCCUACCUCUCCAUCAACAUCCACCUCGAUUUUCUCCCUACUAUCGUUGAAAUCGAGAGGCGGCGAGGGUGCAAGAGGAGAAGGAGAGCAGGUGGAGAAGAAAAUGGAGAAAAAUCGCGGCCGAUUGAAGUGGGAAUCGCUGCCGAUCGAAUGAGCGGCUGAGGAAGAUAAGGAAGAAGACGAAAAUGGCGAGGGGCAAAAUAAUCAUUUUACACACCGUAACCCCUAUGUGAACAUUUUUCAUUUACAAAGAAGCAAAAUAUAGAUUUUUAAAUGUCAGGAGAGGAAAGUGAAAAAAGAGAUUAUUACAUAAAAGUUUUUUGUAAUUUAGCUUAUAUAUUUUAAUUUAUCAUAAUUUCAGACUUAAAAUUUAGAUUGUUGCAACUAAAUUUUAUAGCCCAAAUAGUGACAUAUUGCGAUUACUAAUAUUAGUUAUUAUCAGUUCAUCAACCACGGCACUGCUACGUUACUUUUAUAUCAACAAUACAUGACCUUUCAUUCAAAACUAACAACAAAUUAAAAUUUUGAAGAUUAAAAUUAUAAUUCGAGGACUUUCCAAAAAGUGUAGUUUAACCUAAAACAAAGAGAUAAAUAAAGUGUAAAGAGAAAAUCUAAGGCCACCAUUCAAUGAUAAUACAGAGAAAAGAUUACAUUACACACAAAAUUUACUAAUCGAGGGGAUCAUAACUACACACUGAUAUGCAAAAUUGCAGCAGGAAUUUUCGAACAUAAAACAUUCCUGCCGCAGAACCCUAUUUA
rnacentral:lncRNA from 1 species